CAAGAACGACGCUGGGCGGCGCGUUUUAAGCAUGCAAGUCGAGCGGCAAGGGCCUUCGGGCCCCUAGAGCGGCGGACGGGUGAGUAACACGUGGACAAUCUCGCCCCCCGGCCCGGGAUAGCCCAGGGAAACCUGGAUUAAUACCGGAUGAGACGGGACCCGCGAUGGCGGGAUCCGGGAAAGGCGCUGCGGCGCCGCCGGGGGAUGAGUCUGCGUCCCAUUAGCUAGACGGCGGGGUAACGGCCCACCGUGGCGACGAUGGGUAGCCGGCCUGAGAGGGUGGACGGCCACAUUGGAACUGAGACACGGUCCAGACUCCUACGGGAGGCAGCAGCUAAGAAUCUUCCGCAAUGGGCGAAAGCCUGACGGAGCCGACGCCGCGUGAACGAAGAAGGCCGUGAGGUUGUAAAGUUCUUUUCGGGAGGGGGAACAACCGUGGCAGGGAAUGGCCGCGGGAUGACGUGAAUCCCGGAAUAAGCCCCGGCUAACUACGUGCCAGCCGCGGC
rnacentral:rRNA from 1 species